CUGCUAGAACAAAUUUGCAGUCUUCCGGUAUGAGUAACCAGUGUUCAAGCAAGUGUGAAAUGUCAUAGAUGAAGCAGUAUUGUAGCCAUGCUGUCUAUGAUGAUAUGCUCAUGCACAUUCUUGUAGUAACCGCAUGGGGGGGCGCACGCCGAUAGGCAGUGGGAGAGCCGCGGCGGUUGCUAUGGAGACCUAGUUGCCAGCCGGACGGGCGCCAGGGUGACGUCAGUUUCGGAAGUACGUCACUUUUGCCGGACGGGAGGACGACGGACGCCAGCACCUGCGGACAUCUGCAUCUUAUAAAAGAUUCCUGGGAGGAGCUUGGAAGAAGCUAAAUUUGCAAUAUCAAAUUCCGAAGAAAUUCAAUUCUUCAUAUCUGUUUUUAGAUGAGGAUUUGGGUUAAGAAGAAUAAUUCACCUCAGGUGGCAAAAACCACUACCAUCACCAUUCCUGAUUCAAUGUCCAUAAAGGAUAGCUCUGAUAGGAAAUGUCACGGGAUCAUUAAAUAAAUCUGAGUCCCUACUGGGGCGUCUGUCCUGCUACACCAACCUCGUCAGUAUUGUGGUGAAGCUUCCGUGGUGACUGGCCAUCUGACCACAUUUCCUCAGUCAGGGCCCAUAUUUUCGACAGUACACAGCUCUUUAGGCCUUUAUAGCAUGGUUUUUGAAGGCAUGAUCCUCAAUGUUAAGGGCUUUGAACAGGUAAAUCAGACCAGGAUUAAGGUCAGGAAACCAGCAUCUAUAGUGAAUUACCACGUUUGGAAGAGUUACAUUUGCUGUGUGAAAGAACGUGGAUCCACACAUCUUUGUUCAAGCUCAAUCUUAUGCUUUUCCAUAUUUUUCCAAUGCAAGCUGGCCAUCAUCCCUGAACUUGACAAGUGACAAAGCAGUUGGGACUUCGAUGGAUCACAGCGGCUACACGAUAAGCGCCUCAACUGGUGCAACACUGUGGAGCAGUUAUGCAUGGCAGACCCCUGGUCAUUCUGU